UCCUGUUCUGUCAGUGUUAGCUCACAUCAACUUCACCCCCGCUUGCUACUUUUUCAGUUCACUUGCAGGUGAUUAGAGAUGAUGGUUUCCACCUGCCGCUAAUGACCACCUGAGGACUAUUGAAGCUUGUCUCACAGCGUUGUUGGUUGUGGGAUCAUUGCGUGUCGGAGUUGCAAACACGUUGACGAUGGGCGAAUGCGAGCCGGAGACGGGAGGUUCGGUUUCCUGACACGUCACAUCUCUGAAGGAUCAUCGGUUGAGCCGGCAUGCUUCGCCUUAGGAAAAGCACGGCCAUCCUAAUGCCACCACGAGGAGCCUGCCUGGUGGUGAUUGCUUGGCAUGGGUCUGAUAACUCGCAGACUGCCUAACGCGACACACAAACAGCCAAGAACCGUGGAGGACACACUUGUAGGAGCUCAUUGCCCCUCAGGUCAUGUUCUCAGAGUGCCUCCAUCACUCAGCGUUUGAUAUUUUUGUCAAUAAAUCAGCGUAAAGCAC